CAGGAUGAACGCUGGCGGCGUGCCUAACACAUGCAAGUCGAGCGGAGCAAUCUUGAUGAAGUUUACGGAUGGAAUCAGGAUUGGCUUAGCGGCGGACGGGUGAGUAACACGUGGAUAACCUGCCUUAUACUGGGGGAUAACAGCCAGAAAUGGCUGCUAAUACCGCAUAAGCGCACGGCGCCGCAUGGCGCAGUGUGAAAAACUCCGGUGGUAUAAGAUGGAUCCGCGCCUGAUUAGCUAGUUGGCGGGGCAGCGGCCCACCAAGGCGACGAUCAGUAGCCGGCCUGAGAGGGCGACCGGCCACAUUGGGACUGAGACACGGCCCAAACUCCUACGGGAGGCAGCAGUGGGGAAUAUUGCACAAUGGGGGGAACCCUGAUGCAGCGACGCCGCGUGAGUGAAGAAGUAUUUCGGUAUGUAAAGCUCUAUCAGCAGGGAAGAAGAUGACGGUACCUGACUAAGAAGCCCCGGCUAACUACGUGCCAGCAGCCGCGGUAAUACGU
rnacentral:rRNA from 1 species